UCAGUUAUCGUUUAUUUGAUAGUACCUACUUACUUGGAUAACCGUGGUAAUUCUAGAGCUAAUACAUGCUAAAAACCCCAACUUCGGAAGGGGUGUAUUUAUUAGAUAAAAAACCAAUGCCCUUCGGGGCUCCUUGGUGAUUCAUAAUAACUAAACGAAUCGCAUGGCCUUGCGCCGGCGAUGGUUCAUUCAAAUUUCUGCCCUAUCAACUUUCGAUGGUAGGAUAGUGGCCUACCAUGGUGGCAACGGGUAACGGGGAAUUAGGGUUCUAUUCCGGAGAGGGAGCCUGAGAAACGGCUACCACAUCCAAGGAAGGCAGCAGGCGCGCAAAUUACCCAAUCCCGACACGGGGAGGUAGUGACAAUAAAUACUGAUGUGGAGCUCUUUAGGGUUUCACAAUUGGAAUGAGAACAAUCUAAACCACUUAACGAGGAACAAUUGGAGGGCAAGUCUGGUGGAAAGCACUGGCGCCAGACGUCAAACAGGGUGGGUGGCCCCCCCGGGGCACACCCGCCAGGUAUCCGGUACGGGGAAGGGCCCACAGGGCCUCAUCCCGUGGCGGGGGGUUCACCCCCGCCGUAACGCAUGGCAGGAUACCGGCGGCUGAUCGCAGCCGCUUGAGGGACAUGCUAUUCGGACCCGAUCAAGG
rnacentral:rRNA from 1 species